rnacentral:rRNA from 1 species
CGCCUGCCCCGUGACAAAAGUUUAACGGCCGCGGUAUUUUGACCGUGCAAAGGUAGCGCAAUCACUUGUCUUUUAAAUGAAGACCUGUAUGAAUGGCAUAACGAGGGCUUAACUGUCUCCUUUUCCCAAUCAAUGAAAUUGAUCUCCCCGUGCAGAAGCGGGGAUAUAUACAUAAGACGAGAAGACCCUAUGGAGCUUUAGAUACCAAGACAGAUCUUGUUAAACACCUCAAAAUAACGAAAGAAACUAAAAGAAACCUGCCCUAAUAUCUUUGGUUGGGGCGACCGCGGGGAAAAAAAUAACCCCCAUGUGGACUGAGAAAAUAAAUCUCACAACCAAGAGCCACAGCUCUAGCUAGCAGAACUUCUGACCUUAAGAUCCGGCAAUGCCGAUCAACGGACCGAGUUACCCUAGGGAUAACAGCGCAAUCCUUUUUUAGAGUUCAUAUCGACAAAAGGGUUUACGACCUCGAUGUUGGAUCAGGACAUCCUAAUGGUGCAGCCGCUAUUAAGGGUUCGUUUGUUCAACGAUUAAAGUCCU